ensembl:lncRNA
GCACACUGCUGCCUGGCACUCGUGGCGAAGACUCGGUGUGGCGUCUGUUAGUUGUUGGUUUGUUGUCGGUUGGUGUGGCGUGCUUCAGUCACUUGAAGCGUUGUUGGCCGUGUUGUUCGGGGGCGGCAUUGUGAAGAGUGAGGGGAGUGUGGCAUCCGCUCUGUACUGUUGCCGCAGCCGGUGAUCAGUUUCGGGGGCGUAAAGCUCUCUUCGUUCGGCUGUUGGAGCCGCAGCGGUGCUUUUGCUUUUCUUCCUCCUCCUGUGCUCUGGUGAAGCUGCCCUGCACGGCUCUGUGACGUAGCCUACACCUGGCGAUCCCAAACGACAGGAGCUGGUGCAGCGGGCGGCAGGCUUGGUUUGUAGUGGUUCUUUUGUGGUUUUGAGUUGAUUUAGUCUGACCGCCUCGCUACAGCCUAGCUCUGUGCCUGUUGUAUUUAUUUCUACUUUGGGGUUUUGACUUGACACUUCAGUGGUUGU